GCCAGAGUGGUGCAGUGGUUUGAGAGUUGGGCUGUGACUCUGGAGAUCAGGGUUCGAUUCCCUGCUCAGCCA